AUUGAACGCUGGCGGCAGGCCUAACACAUGCAAGUCGAACGAGUGGCGGACGGGUGAGUAAUGUGUGGGGAACUGCCUGGUGGAGGGGGAUAUUUACUGGAAACGGUAGCUAAUACCGCAUACCAUCGGAUGUGCCCAGAUGGGAUUAGCUAGUAGGUGGGGUAAUGGCGCACCUAGGCGACGAUCCAUAGCUGGUCUGAGAGGUUGACAAGCAAUACUGGAACUGAGACACGGUCCAGAAGCCUACGGGAGGCAGCAGUGGGGAAUAUUGCACAAUGGGCGCAAGCCUGAUGCAGCCAUGCCGCGUGUAUGAAGAAGGCCUUCGGGUUGUAAAGUACUUUCAGCGAGGAGGCGUUACCCGCAGAAGAAGCACCGGCUAACUCCGUGCCAGCAGCCGCGGUAAUUC
rnacentral:rRNA from 1 species